UGGGGAAUAUUGGACAAUGGGCGAAAGCCUGAUCCAGCCAUGCCGCGUGUGUGAAGAAGGUCUUCGGAUUGUAAAGCACUUUAAGUUGGGAGGAAGGGCAGUAAGCGAAUACCUUGCUGUUUUGACGUUACCGACAGAAUAAGCACCGGCUAACUCUGUGCCAGCAGCAGCGGUAAUACAGAGGGUGCAAGCGUUAAUCGGAAUGACUGGGCGUAAAGCGCGCGUAGGUGGUUCGUUAAGUUGAAUGUGAAAGCCCCGGGCUCAACCUGGGAACUGCAUCCAAAACUGGCGAGCUAGAGUAGGGCAGAGGGUGGUGUAAUUUCCUGUGUAGCGGUGAAAUGCGUAGAUAUAGGAAGUAACACCAGUUGCGAAGGCGACCACCUGGGCUCAUACUGACACUGAGGUGCGAAAGCGUGGGGAGCAAACAGG
rnacentral:rRNA from 1 species